UACGUAGGGGGCAAGCGUUGUCCGGAUUUAUUGGGCGUAAAGAGCGUGUAGGCGGCUGGGUAGGUCCGUUGUGAAAACUCGAGGCUCAACCUCGAGACGCCGAUGGAAACCCUCCAGCUAGAGUCCGGAAGAGGAGAGUGGAAUUCCUGGUGUAGCGGUGAAAUGCGCAGAUAUCAGGAAGAACACCCGUGGCUAAGGCGGCUCUCUAGUACGGUACUGACGCGGAGACGCGAAAGCGGGGGGAGCGAACAGG
rnacentral:rRNA from 1 species